AUUUCAUUUUCAAAGUUGGUCUGUGCAAAUUCCAAGGCAUUAUAUAAAGCCCUUGUUGCAGCAAGGCGAACUUCAGGACCAUGUUGUGCAAGGUUCAUGCCUUGGACAACUGCAGUCAGAACAUUGUUCACUUCAUCUUGCACAAGUUCCUGACUGGAUAUUUCCUCACAAACAUACCCAAGAGUUUCCAGGGUUGCCUGUUUUAAUGCUGCAGGACCAUCUUGCUGGGUCAUAU
rnacentral:misc_RNA from 1 species